rnacentral:misc_RNA from 1 species
GAAAUGCGAUAAGUAAUGUGAAUUGCAGAAUUCAGUGAAUCAUCGAAUCUUUGAACGCACCUUGCGCUCCUUGGUAUUCCUUGGAGCAUGCCUGUUUAAGUAUCAUGAAAUCUUCAAAGUAAAUCUUUUGUUAACUCAAUUGGUUUCUACUUUGGUAUUGGAGGUCUUUGCAGCUUCACACCUGCUCCUCUUUGUUCAUUAGCUGGAUCUCAGUGUUAUGCUUGGUUCCACUCGGCGUGAUAAGUUAUCUAUCGCUGAGGACACUGUAAAAGGUGGCCAAGGUAAAUGCAGAUGAACCGCUUCUAAUAGUCCAUUGACUUGGACAAUACUUUUAUGAUCUGAUCUGAAAUCAGGUAGGACUACCCGCUGAACUUAAGC